rnacentral:rRNA from 1 species
UUGGGUGGCGAGUGGCGGACGGGUGAGGAAUACAUCGGAAUCUACUCUGUCGUGGGGGAUAACGUAGGGAAACUUACGCUAAUACCGCAUACGACCUACGGGUGAAAGCAGGGGAUCUUCGGACCUUGCGCGAUUGAAUGAGCCGAUGUCGGAUUAGCUAGUUGGCGGGGUAAAGGCCCACCAAGGCGACGAUCCGUAGCUGGUCUGAGAGGAUGAUCAGCCACACUGGAACUGAGACACGGUCCAGACUCCUACGGGAGGCAGCAGUGGGGAAUAUUGGACAAUGGGCGCAAGCCUGAUCCAGCCAUACCGCGUGGGUGAAGAAGGCCUUCGGGUUGUAAAGCCCUUUUGUUGGGAAAGAAAUCCAGCUGGCUAAUACCCGGUUGGGAUGACGGUACCCAAAGAAUAAGCACCGGCUAACUUCGUGCCAGCAGCCGCGGUAAUACGAAGGGUGCAAGCGUUACUCGGAAUUACUGGGCGUAAAGCGUGCGUAGGUGGUCGUUUAAGUCCGUUGUGAAAGCCCUGGGCUCAACCUGGGAACUGCAGUGGAUACUGGGCGACUAGAGUGUGGUAGAGGGUAGCGGAAUUCCUGGUGUAGCAGUGAAAUGCGUAGAGAUCAGGAGGAACAUCCAUGGCGAAGGCAGCUACCUGG